GCUGGGCAUGGUGGCGCAUGCCUGUAAUCCCAGCUACUAGGGAGGCUGAGGCGGGAGGAUCGCUUGAACCCAGGAGGCAGAGGUUUCAGUGAGCUGAGAUCAUGCCAUUGCACUUCAGCCUGGGUGACAGAAUGAGACCCUGUCUUAA
ensembl:misc_RNA Metazoa_SRP Metazoan signal recognition particle RNA